CCAUUUAGGUCCAGUAAUUUUGACUGUAGUCAGUAAAGAUUUUAAAGCCUGCAGGCCCUGCUGGAAGGAGACCUGCUCGAUUCCUCUGGAAGGCUAGUCACAUUACGCGCUUGCAGGCUGCAAACCCAGCUUGAUAAAGUUCAGCGUCACCAACAUUAUACAGAAUGUGAAAUAUAUUGUACCUUGUCAACUCCCCAGAACCAUAAAACUAACUUUAACGACCCCACGUGACUUUUGAGAGCCAGUAGGGGUAUCUGCCUGCGGUAUGGGCGAUUUUUACGAUCUAACUUUGCGAUAAAUACCCAAUUCAUUUGACAUCCCAAUGUCAUACCGGCUUCUUGCAUAAGCAGUUUGUUAGACUCACAAGGGGAGCAUGCACUUUGCAAGAUAGAACUAAUAUUUGCUGUGUAACUUUUCUACUAUCGAUAAGCCCUUGGACGUUCUUUUGAGCGCAAUGUACUCGGAUACCCGGUGAAGAAUUGGGAAUAAAAAUGCAUCGAUACUUAGUAGCAAAGUUGCUCAUCGGCGCAUCGAUAAUGUUACAAUCCUCCACGCCAGGAUUUGCGCCAGCCGACUCCGUUUAUCAGCGCUCCGAGUUUAAAUCGGAGAAUAUUUCCUCUUGUCUGAAGGAUUGAGAUUUCAACGAGGGAAACGAUCGCACUAGAAGCCCGAAUUAGGACUUGCGCACGUUAUAUAAAAUGCAUCGUGCGAGAUAUGUUACAAUUGGGAAAUCCAGUGAAAUGCAUCAAUUUGAUAUCCGACCCCCAAACCCAGUCCUAUUGUCUGCUGUGUGUAUAUUAACCUUUAUUUAGGACGCUGCUAUAUUUACGGUUCGCACAUACAGACACCAACACACGCAAAAUAAACUUUCUAUAUGCGCCAGUACGUCUGUUGCAUUAAAAUGCCCUUUUUCUGCUUAAGUAAUGCCCGCGGAGAGUGAGAAUUUCAGAUUGUAUGUUAUAUAUAUUCUCUGAUAAUAAAUUGAACUAUUAAACCAU